GGGAAAGUGGUCACCAUUCGUACGCGGGGCACAUUCGUACAAUUGGUAUAACAGAAAAACUAAACGGCACACAAACACAUCUUUGCUUAUGUGCAUAGACAUAUCGACCACCAUGUUGCUAGCGGAGUGUCGCGCCAGUGGCACCAUGGUGUUUCAGCUGAUAAGAUAUGACGUGUUUUUGCGGGCUAAUCAUGGUGCGAAAAUAUAAAAAAAAAGGUACGCGCACUCAAGAAGUGGAUGAAAAGUCCAUGAAUCUAGCAAUUGAUGGUGUAAUACAAAGACGGUUGUCGUAUAAUCCUCAAGACAUUAUUACCGGAACUGGUGAAUCUUCCACCUCUGCCGCCGAGCCACAAUCUGUACCGAGUUCUUAUCUUCCCAUAACACCAGAGGUCAUAAGACAUCUGGUUCAAUAAAAAAAAAGAAAGCUAAGAAAAUAGAAAGCGUCGAAGAUUCAGAGGAAUCUAAAGGAUCACAAUUUAGCUUGCGGGAGAGUUCAACAUCUCCAGUUGAUUUAAAAAUGGACGAAGAGACUGAUGAUCAUAGUAUCAAUAAUAAUUCAAUUAUGAUACCAGAGAAAAUCAAAGAUAAUUGUUAUAUUUUGGGAAAAUUAAAAAAAAAAGACUUCUGUUGUUCAUUACGUCGGAAAAGUUCUCAGUUAUUAUUCCGGUAUAGAGAUGAAUAUAUCUUAUCUGUGUAUCAGAGAUGUCGCCAUGAUCUUUCCUGAUCCUCAACCACGAACGGGCUGUGCAGUUAGAAUGACUAGACUUUAUACAUUUGCAGUCGAUUUGAAUAAUUAUAAUGUGCAAUAAGUUUCAAAGAAACAACCAAAUGUAUGAUUACCUAUUUUAAGUUUGAAUUGUCAAAGACUCUGUAACGAUGUCAUACAAAAUGAUUGCAAACAUCUCAUUUAGACUGAUUGUAAAGCUUAGUAAAGUAAACUAAGGAUGAACGAUUUUAUUUUUUGUUAUUUUUUUAAGAAAGUUUUAUCGACUAUAGUCAAGUCACAUAUUUUUAAGUUAGUUCAUUGUUAAAUAAAUAUUUUUAUAAUUAUUAAAAAAAAAAUCAACGACUUCAA